UACAGAGAUACUGUUUCUCAGUGGUAGCCCUUUAAAGUCCAAAAUUUGGUGGUGGUGGUUGUUAGAUAGGGCUAGAGUGACAUGAUCAUGGCUCACUGUAACUUCGAGCGAUCCUCUUGCCUCAGCCUCUCGAGUAGCUGGGACUACAGGCACACACCACCAUGCCUGACUAAUUUUUGAAUUUUUGGUAGAGAUGAGAUCUCACUAUUGUUGCCCAGGCUGGUCUUGAACUCCUGGACUAAAGUGAUCCUCCUGCCUCAGCCUCCCAAAGCACAGGGAUUACAGGUGUGAGCCACCAUGCCUGGCCCCAAAUUUGUUUGUAUGUGCUGAGCUUCCAUCUUCUGGAUUAGAGUUUGAUCUUCAGGGCUGUGUUUGAGAAUUGUGGGGGUAGGAAAAGAACUAGGAGUUUAAGCAGAUUGGGGAAGGGGCAGAAGAGAUUGGGAAGAUAAAUAUUGUUAGGGAUUCACUGUUAAGAGUUUCUGUUUCAGGAGAACUUUGUGAGUUUUUUAUCUGAACUACUAAUUACAGAGUGUAUUUUAACCAGCUAAAGGUCUGCAGAACAGAAGGAGGCUUAUAAUAAGAAAGCACGUCGUGGUUCUAUCUUGACUUUGCCUAAAUUGGAUUUAACUCCCUAUCUAAGAAAACUUGACAGUAUGUAUUUUUAAAGUUUACAAACAAGAAGAAGAUUACAAUUAAUGUUAAUGUUUCUGUACUGAUGAAAAACAAAUUCAGGUACUAUCAUGAGCUCAUUCCAUUUGGUUCGUUUUUUGUUUAUUUGUUUGUUUUGAAGGAGUAGGAGUCAGCUUUUUCCUGGGAAUGGCCCUGAAGUACACGUGGGCUGGGACCUGGCGUGUGGCUGGAGACUCCAGUAUAGCUUGCAGCCUUCCCGUCCAGUAAUUGCAAGGUGAAAACAAAAGUGAGCAGCUGGCAGCAUACACUGCCAGGGAGCUCAGGCCGCAAGCAGCCCAGAAGAAGGAAGUACUGUCACUGUGGGGCUCCAGGUUUUCAUAAGUACAUGCGGGUGUCAAACAUGCCAGGGCCGUGAGUAGGAGGGUCUACCCUGGGGAGAGACAUUUCUGGCUGUAGUGGAAUGUCCCCUAUGAGCCCGUAGGUCUUAAUUCAGAAGUAAGUUCCCAAGGAAAGCAAGAGUCCAAAGUUGCCAAACCUGUUAUUUCCUGGAAAUCAAGGCAGUUUAUCCAGUUUAUGUAAUGUUUAACAAUUGCAGGGCCCAGCUGUGGGCACCUGGGCGGGGCAUGGAGGGCAAGGCCCCCAAGCCAGAGAGACUCAGGUACUAGUUAUCUUCUGUGGGCCUAAGGUCACUCAGGAAGAAGGAAGGAGAGCAACAGAGCCCGUGAUUUGUGGUCCUGAGACAUGGAAGUGCUUAAUCCAUAUUUUGGCUUCUGAGAAUCCGGUUGGAGAUGAGUAGCUGGGAAACUUAGGACUGUCCCACUCCUGGGAGAAUGAAUGAGGUCAUGUUUGUAGAGGGCUUUGAGCUGAUGGGAGGAAAGCAACUUCCUAAAUGCAAGGUAUUAUUAACUGAAGGUACUAUUAUUUUAAUCUGAGAGGACAAUGUAUGGUAGGUAAAAUAGAGCAACUUUGGGAGGCCGAGGCGGGUGGAUCACGAGGUCAGGAGAUCGAGACCAUCCUGGCUAACAUGGUGAAACCCUGUCUCUGCUAAAAAUACAAAAAAUUAGCCAGGCAUGGUGGCAGGCGCCUGCAGUCCCAGCUACUCGGGAUGCUGAGGCAGGAGGAUGGCAUGAACCUGGGAGGCAGAGCUUGCAGUGAGCCGAUUUUGUGCCACUGCACUCCAGCCUGGGUGACACAGCGAGACUCCAUCUCAAAAAAAAAAAAAGGCUUGAAUCACAAAUAAAACAUGGUAUCCUCAGAAAGAAAAUCCUUGUUACAUCAAUGGUCUGGGCUCCAGGACAAGCGGUGAGGCAGCAACCAAGAAGAGAAACAAUCUUAGCAGUAUUUCCUCCGUUCCCGGAUGACAAGGUUGUUGUGAAUGCAAGUCAUUGAAUGAGUCCUGAAACAGGCACACAAUAGCCGGACCAUAACAAGCAGCUGCCAGUUACCAAGCACUUCCUGUGAGCCAGGCAGCUCUCUAAGACUUGAAUGUCUAUUAACUCAUUUCAAUCCUCCCCCAAAUCCAGAAUCUCAUUUCACAGAUGGGGCUGCUGAGGGACAGUGGAGGGGAAGAGUGUCCAGCGGUGGAGCGAGGCAGUGGUUAGCUCACCCAUGCUACCUCCCUUCCCGCUGCAGCUGUCACUUCCGUGGGACUCUCAAAGGGCCCCUUCCCCAAAAGAUCUAUAGAGGGCACUAAGAGUUCCACUGGAGAUGCUUGAAAUGAGUGAACCCUCCCCGCCUCUGUGGGGAUGGGGAGAAAAGGACACCAGCUCUCUUGGGUAAUGGGUUUGGGGGAAGGGUAGAGAACUGGCAUUCCCAACCUCCAUCUCUGCAGUGCGUUAAAUUCUUGUUCUGGCCGGGCGCAGUGGCUGACACCCGUAAUCCUAGCACUUUGGGAAGUCGAGGCGGGCGGAUCACUUGAGGUCGGGAGUUCAAGACCAGCCUGGCCUAUAUGGUGAAACCACCGUCUCUACUAAAAAAAAAAAAAAAUACAAAAAUUAGCCAGGCGUGGUGGUGCGUGCCUGUAGUCUGUAAUCCCAGCUACUCGGGAGGCUGAGGCACGAGAAUUGCUUGAACCCCGUAGGUGGAGGUUGCAGUGGGCCGAUAUCGUGCCACUGCGCUCCAGCCUGGGCGACAGAGUGAGACUCUGUCUCAAAAAUAAUGACAAUAAAAAAUAAAAAUAAAUUUUUGUUCCUUUCUUCCUCCUUUCCACCUCUUAUUUCCCUAAAUCCAAACAGAUCCAACAAAGCUGAAAGAUGGAAUCUGAGGGCUCUCAGAACUCCCAAUAGGCCCAAGGCUCAGAGAGGAAACAAAAUCCACUCAAGGUCAUGAACACUCGCUUUUCCCUGCUGACUGAUGGUAGCACUGGGAUUCGAUUCAGAUGCCAGGACAAAAGGACAAGGUGGCCAAGAGAAGUAGAAAGGUGUUGAGAGGAGAAGGAGAAUGGGAAAGGGCCAAUAAGAAGACAAUGAAAACAAGCAGCGCCAAGGCAGCUGGGCCAGGCUGGACUCACACACUCCCUGAAGGCUCGGGUCCAGGAGGCACUGGUGGUGCGAUGGUUUUCUUCUCCUUUUGAGGAUUUCCAACGCUAUUGCUAGCCUUUGUUUGUUUAACAUAACCUAUUUUUUGCUGCUAUUUUUCCUUGCAAAUUUAUGCUUUGUUUUUCUUUUUUUGGAGACAACUUCUCGCUCUAUCACCCAGGCUGGAGUGCAGUGGUACGACUUCGGCUACUACAACCUCUGCCUCCUGGGUUCAAGCGAUUCUCGUGCCUCAGCCUCCCUAGUAGCUGGAACUACAGGCAUGCGCUGCCACACCCGGCUAAUUUUUGUAUUUUCAGUAGAGACAAGGUUUUGCCAUGUUUUCCAGGCUGGUCUCGAACUACCUGCCUCAAGCGAUCUGACCGCCUCGGCUUCUGAAAGUGCUGGGAUUACAGGUAUGAGCCACCAUGCCCAGCCAGUUUGUUUGUUUUUUUUGAGACACGGUCUUGCUCUGUUGCACAGGCUAGAGUGUAGUAGCUCACUGCAGCAACCCUCAACUCCCCUGGGCUCAAGCAAUCCUCCAGCCCAGCCCCCUAAGAAGCUAGGACUACAAGCACACAACACUACAACUGGCUGAUUUUUAUUUUUAUUUUUUUUGCCCAGGCUGGUCUUGAACUCCUGGCCUCAAGCGAUCCUCUCACCUUGACCUUACAAAGUGCUGGGUUUACAGGCAUGAGCCACUGCGCCUAGCCAUUUUUUGUGUGUGUGUGUCUAUUCUUUUGCCUCAAAGAGGAAGGAAACUGAGCAGAAGGGCUGCUUCUACUCCAGGCAUAUCCCAGUCUUCCUGGGUGAUGAGAAGAGCUCUGUCUAUUGGGAACACACUAAGAGCCCAGCUCUGUGCUAUA
rnacentral:lncRNA from 1 species